rnacentral:rRNA from 1 species
AUGACGAAGGGUACCGGCAGUUUCGGCAAGCGCUGGAACAAGACCCACAAGCUUUGCAUCCGCUGCGGCCGCCGCAGCUUCCACCUCCAGAAGAGCACCUGCUCCUCGUGCGGCUACCCCGCCGCCCGCAUCCUCAAGUGUAAGCUCCCCCCUCCCCUCGCCCCUCUAGAUCUCCAGGUCUGUUACCGUCAUGCGCAACAUUCGUGA